rnacentral:rRNA from 1 species
UACGAAGGGGGCAAGCGUUGUUCGGAUUCACUGGGCGUAAAGGGCGCGCAGGCGGACCGAUAAGUCGACUGUGAAAUCUGCUGGCUCAACCAGCAGCCUGCAGCCGAAACUAUCGGUCUUGAGUAUAGGAGAGGAGAGCGGAAUCUCAGGUGUAGCGGUGAAAUGCGUAGAUAUCUGAGAGAACACCGGUGGCGAAGGCGGCUCUCUGGCCUAAUACUGACGCUGAGGCGCGAAAGCUAGGGGAGCGAAC